rnacentral:pre_miRNA from 1 species
GAUGUACUCCCUCCGUCCGGAAAUACUUGUUAUCAAAAUGAAUAAAAGGGGAUGUAUUUAGAUAUAUUUUAGUUCUAGAUACAUCCCUUUUUGUCUAUUUUGAUGACAAGUAUUUUCGGACGGAGGAAGUAUAUA